AUUGAACGCUGGCGGCAGGCUUAACACAUGCAAGUCGAGCGGGGUGAUGGUGCUUGCACUAUCACUUAGCGGCGGACGGGUGAGUAGUGCCUAGGAAUCUGCCUAUUAGUGGGGGACAACAUUUCGAAAGGAAUGCUAAUACCGCAUACGUCCUACGGGAGAAAGCAGGGGAUCUUCGGACCUUGCGCUAAUAGAUGAGCCUAAGUCGGAUUAGCUAGUUGGUGGGGUAAAGGCCUACCAAGGCGACGAUCUGUAGCGGGUCUGAGAGGAUGAUCCGCCACACUGGGACUGAGACACGGCCCAGACUCCUACGGGAGGCAGCAGUGGGGAAUAUUGGACAAUGGGGGGAACCCUGAUCCAGCCAUGCCGCGUGUGUGAAGAAGGCCUUUUGGUUGUAAAGCACUUUAAGCGAGGAGGAGGCUACCGAGAUUAAUACUCUUGGAUAGUGGACGUUACUCGCAGAAUAAGCACCGGCUAACUCUGUGCCAGCCGCCGCGGUAAAAC
rnacentral:rRNA from 1 species